rnacentral:rRNA from 1 species
GACGAACGCUGGCGGCGUGCCUAAUACAUGCAAGUCGAACGCAUUUUCUUUCACCGUAGCUUGCUACACCGAAAGAAAAUGAGUGGCGAACGGGUGAGUAACACGUGUGUAACCUGCCCAUCAGCGGGGGAUAACACUUGGAAACAGGUGCUAAUACCGCAUAAUUCCAUUUACCGCAUGUUAGAUGGAUGAAAGGCGCUUUUGCGGCACUGAUGGAUGGACCCGCGGUGCAUUAGCUAGUUGGUGGGGUAAAGGCCUACCAAGGCUGCGAUGCAUAGCCGACCUGAGAGGGUGAUCGGGCAAAAUGGGAAUGAGAAACGGCCCAGACUCCUACGGGAGGCAGCAGUAGGGAAUCUUCGGAAAUGGACACAAGUCUGACCGAGCCAAGCCGCGUGAGUGAAGAAGGUUUUCGGAUCGUAAAACUCUGUUGUUAGAGAAGAAAAAGGAUGAGAGUGGAAAGUUCAUCCAUUGACGGUAUCUAAACAGAAAGCCACGGCUAACUACGUG